rnacentral:rRNA from 1 species
UACGAAGGGGGCUAGCGUUGUUCGGAAUUACUGGGCGUAAAGCGCGCGCAGGCGGUCUUCCAAGUCAGUGGUGAAAGCCCGGAGCUCAACUCCGGAACUGCCAUUGAAACUGUUGGACUUGAGUAUGAGAGAGGUGAGUGGAAUUCCCAGUGUAGAGGUGAAAUUCGUAGAUAUUGGGAAGAACACCGGUGGCGAAGGCGGCUCGCUGGCUUAUUACUGACGCUCAGGCGCGACAGCGUGGGGAUCAAACAGG